UAUUUAGUCUUUCUUAACUUUAACUUUUUCUUUCUCUUUGAGGCCUUAUUUCAAGGCUUACUUUUAGAUAUCCCUUCUACCAAAGUGCAAUGUGAAUUUAGUAAAGAUGACAGAAAUGUAGGUGAGAACUAAAGGACCCAGUUUGUAGACCAUCUGGACUAGGAGAUUCAAAAGGUAUAAAUAUUGUUCAAGCUUCAUUUCUUUGCAGGCAGUGCAUAAAAGAAAAGCUAUUUCAACCUUGAUGCUGGAGAGAUUUCUCUCUGUAGCUAACAUAGAACAGGAAACCUUAAUAUUUUUCUUGGUGCCUCAGAAUUUAAAGUCACAUUGGUCCCAGACUGUUGUUUUGGACCACUUGAAACAGCAGGAGAAAACACGUAAUUGGGAGUGGGCUGGAGAAUGUUAUGAGGCCACUCAAAAGUGAUCUGGAUUAUAAAUCUAUGCAUACACCCUAUUAGGAGAGAACAGGAAGCAGAAUCUAGAAAACCAGUAGAGCAAAAGUUCUGAUAAGCUAGAAGAAAAAGCAGAACCAGACUUGCAGAGUAAAUGGGGGCCGAGACCUCAUAAUAGAGUGUAAAACAGAGUGAAAGGAUUGGGAGCUAGUUUUAUGGUUAUAUCCAUAUUCUGGUCAGUUGUUUUGUGGAAACCGCAAAAGGGAGGGUGAGCAUCAGAUGGUUAGUUAAAAUCAGCAGUGUAGCCAUUGUUUUGAAAGGGCUGGUUUCUGUUUUGCCUGUAGGGAAGGAAGCCUGAUGGUGGUUAGCAAGGGAGAGGGUAUAAGGAGUGGGAUCUCCCAUUGCAUCAUGGCCCUGGGAAUGUAGUUUUAAGGUUUCUCUGUGGUCCUCUUGGCCAAGAGGGGGUCUUUUCAGUCACUUGGGGAGCUUUCCAAGAGAAGAUUUUGAAAGUUUAUUCAUCUUUUUGUUUUUAAUAAAAUUAAACCAUCUUGGAAAAAUAGUUUCUCCUAUUUUACCUUGAAAGAUUGCCAGGUGUGGG
rnacentral:lncRNA from 1 species